CAGCUAAUAGUUUAUUAAAAUUUAAUCUUUGGAAGUUUAAGAUGUAUAAAUUAUACUUUGCUGA
rnacentral:tRNA from 1 species